rnacentral:tRNA from 1 species
GCGGUUGUAGUGUAACGGUUAGCAUGGGAGCCUGUGGAGCUCUCGGACCGAGUUCAACUCUCGGCAUUCGCC